rnacentral:rRNA from 1 species
UGUCGCCCGCAAGGGCGCAUGGUGGAUGCCUUGGCAGACAGUACCGACGAAGGACGUUUGAGGAUGCGAUAAGCCUCGGGGAGCCUCCAGCAUGGCUUCGAUCCGAGGAUUUCCGAAUGGGGCAACCCGCCGGCCGUCAUGGGCCGGCACCGCAGGCUUCUGCGGGGGGUACGCAGGGAAGUGAAACAUCUCAGUACCUGCAGGAAGGGAUACUCCGUGAGUAGUGGCGAGCGAAAGCGGAUCAGACCAAACCGCGUGCGCGUGAUACCCGUCGGGGGUUGCGUGCGCGGUGUUGAGGGAGCGCGUGUCCCGGUUCCGACGGACCGGGCGGGAGUCAUAAAGCGGCUUGCCAGGGGAACAGGCUUGAAGGCCUGGCCGCAGAGGGUGCCAGCCCCGUACCUGGACGCUUGCCGUCUUCCGAUCGCGUGUCCCAAGUAGCGCGGGCCUCGUGGAAUCCCGCGUGAAUCCGCACCGACCGUGGUGUAAGUCUAAGCAUACCUGUCUGACCGAUAGCGUACCAGUACCGUGAGGGAAAGGUGAAAAGCACCCCGGGAGGGGAGUGAAAGAGUUCCUGAAACCGUGCGCCUACGAUCCGUCGGAGCCUCCUUGUGGGGUGACGGCGUGCCUAUCGAAAAAUGAGUCUGCGAGUCAGUGAUGCGUGGCGAGGCUAACCCGUCGUGGGGCAGCCGUAGCGAAGGCGAGUCCGAACAGGGCGUUUCUAUAGUCGCGUGUCCUGGACCCGAAGCGGGAUGAUCUAGCCCUGGGCAGGUUGAAGCGCGGGUAAGACCGCGUGGAGGACCGAACCCACCUGGGUUGAAAACCGGGGGGAUGACCUGGGGCUAGGGGUGAAAGGCCAAUCAAAUUCCGUGAUAGCUGGUUCUCUCCGAAAUGCAUUUAGGUGCAGCGUCGGCUUAUUGCAUCGCGGGGGUAGAGCUACCGGAUGCUUGCGGGCCCUUGUGGGGUACCAACAGCAGCCGAACUCCGAAUACCGUUGAUGUGUAUGCCGGCAGUGAGUCGGCGGGGGAUAAGCUCCGUCGUCGAGAGGGAGACAGCCCAGACCGUCGUCCGAGGUCCCCAAGCGUGUGCUAAGUGGGAAAGGAUGUGGGGCCGCAUAGACAGCCAGGAGGUUGGCUCAGAAGCAGCCAUCCUUGAAAGAGUGCGUAACAGCUCACUGGUCUAGUGGUCCCGCGCCGACAAUGUAGCGGGGCUCAAGCACACCACCGAAGACGCGGCGGCAUGCCUUUGGCGUGCCGGGUAGGAGAGCGUCCUGCAAGGGGCGAAGCGGCCGGGUGACCGUGCCGUGGACUUUGCGGGAGUGAGAAUGCAGACAUGAGUAGCGAGAGACGGGUGAGGAUCCCGUCCGCCGGAUGACCAAGGGUUCCGGGGCCACGUUCGUCGUCCCCGGGUGAGUCGGGUCCUAAGGCGAGGCCGACAGGCGUAGUCGAAUGGAUGAACGGGUGGAUAUUCCCGUACCGGCAGCGAACCGACAGGACCGAGGCGGUGAGUACUAACCUCCGUCGCGGGCCGUUCCCCUCCUUCGGGUGGGGUCCGGCGCGUGGCGUUGGGAGCGUAGCCGUGGUAGGUGAGCGCAGGGGUGACACGGAAUGGGAGCCGGCCGCGGAGGUGGUUUUCCGUGGUCAAGCACGCAGCCAGUCAUGCAGGCAAAUCCGCAUGGCGCGUAUGGCGAGGUGCGAUGAUGGGAGCCGUUUCGGCUCGAUAUCCGGUGGUCCAGGCCGUCGAGAAAAGCCCCGGCGUCAGGCGCGUUGCCGCCCGUACCCCAAACCGACACAGGUGGUCAGGUAGAGAAUACCAAGGCGAUCGAGCGAAUCCUGGUCAAGGAACUCGGCAAACCGCUCCCGUGCCUUCGGCAUAAGGGAGACCCCCGCGGGUGAACGGACAUGCUCCGGGAGCGUGUGGGGGUGGCACAGACCAGGGGGUAGCGACUGUUUACCAAAAACACAGGUGCAUGCGAAGGCGUAAGCCGCUGUAUAUGCACUGACGCCUGCCCGGUGCCGGAAGGUUAAGAGGAUCCGUCAGCCCCUUGGGGGUGAAGCGGUGAAUUCAAGCCCCGGUAAACGGCGGUGGUAACUAUAACCAUCCUAAGGUAGCGAAAUUCCUUGUCGGGUAAGUUCCGACCUGCACGAAUGGCGUA